rnacentral:lncRNA from 10 species
AACGAAAAGAAGUUUAUUUAGCUCACAGUUCUGGAAGCUGGGAAGUUCAAGAUUGAGCAGCUGCUUCUAGUGAGGGCCUCAUGCUGCAUCCAAACAUCCAAAUGGAGAAACAGAAGGAAAACUGGGCAUGUGCAAAAUGGGCAAAACAAGAGAGGCAAACCUCGCUUUAUGACAACCCACUCUCAUGGGAACUAUACCUUUCCCAAGAAAGACAUUAAUCCAUCUUAAUAACCUAUUCACUCUUAAAGGCACCACCUCCCACCACCACAUUUGGGGACCAAGCCACAACAUGAGUUUUGUUGGGGACAAACUAUAUUCAAACCAUAGUAACGAGGGAAUAGCAUUAUAGGAGUCCAGUGAAAGCUCUGUCUUUGCCCCCAACAUGGGGAAGCCAAUGCUGAAAAGCAGGGAGGGAUUGGGAAAGAAAUACCUGAUCUCUCUCUCCACCUGCCCUCUGGUUGCCUGCUGUUGCCUCCCACUGAACAAACAGUGGAAGCAGCCAGCAAGGGAGACUGGGUAAUGCAGUCUGUGGAGACCAGUCCCCCAGAGCUCAGAGCAAGGCUGAGAAGAGCAGGGAGCAGGUUGGGAUGUGAGGGCAACAGAGAAAUCAGCACAGGUCCUGGCGGAGAUACCAGAUUCCAGAGUUUGGAGCUCAAACCUGAUCCUUGAAACUGGUUACCAGAAUCAGCAUAUGACCAUAGGAUGCCUGGGUCUGCUCAGAGCAUUGGAGAGGAGGUGAG